rfam:Ignavibacteria bacterium GWC2_36_12 gwc2_scaffold_6403, whole genome shotgun sequence.
CUCUUAUCGAGAAAGGUCGAGGGAACAGGCCCUGUGAAACCUUGGCAACCAUUCAGGAUAAAAUCCUUGAAGCCGGUGCUACUUCCUGCCCCGUUCUGUUAUACAGAAAACGAGGGAAAGAUGAGAG